CCUACGGGCGGCAGCAGUGGGGAAUAUUGCACAAUGGGGGAAACCCUGAUGCAGCGACGCCGCGUGAAGGAUGAAGUAUUUCGGUAUGUAAACUUCUAUCAGCAGGGAAGAAAAUGACGGUACCUGACUAAGAAGCCCCGGCUAACUACGUGCCAGCAGCCGCGGUAAUACGGAGGAUCCGAGCGUUAUCCGGAUUUAUUGGGUUUAAAGGGAGCGUAGAUGGAUGUUUAAGUCAGUUGUGAAAGUUUGCGGCUCAACCGUAAAAUUGCAGUUGAUACUGGAUAUCUUGAGUGCAGUUGAGGCAGGCGGAAUUCGUGGUGUAGCGGUGAAAUGCUUAGAUAUCACGAAGAACUCCGAUUGCGAAGGCAGCUUACUGGAUUGUAACUGACGCUGAUGCUCGAAAGUGUGGGUAUCAAACAGGAUU
rnacentral:rRNA from 1 species